ACACCUAUGAGCACUUGUUAGCGCCAGUGCUUUAAGGACUACUCUUCCAAAGUGUGAUUUUCUAAGACCACUGGAACCUAUUCAAGCAAUGGAUUCCUUACAGGGACACUUGUCAUAAAAAGCUGACCCCCCUCUGACAAGGUUCAGUGACUGACGUGCCCAAAGGAACUCAUGAUAAGGAAAUUCCAAGGCACAAGGGAACAUCAUGAUGAGCUUUGUCUAUAAUUAGGAUGAAUGGCCCUUCCACCAUGAAAAACGGGAAGUGCUCCAGAUCAUUUUCAUGAAAUGAAUCAGGCCAUAAAAUAUGGACUCUGCUGUGCCAUUUGGAAGACAUCCAGAUAAAACCUUGAUCCAAGAAACCCAGGAGUGUGAUUUUCCGCAAAUGUGUGUGGCCGUCUUCAGACUCAACACAAAGCCAUUCCACAUGGUGAAGGUCUGUGCUGAAAGGAAAGAACUUGCUUCUCAUAAUGUUAUGGGCCUCGAGUACAUGGAAGAGGAUGGAAAUGACUGGGAGACAGAAGACAAGCCAUGCACAAGUCAGGGACAAACUCUGAUCCUGGAUCCCCAUCAGAAGAGUGGAGAAGAGGAGAGAACGCUUUUCUUUGUAAAACAUUUACUUUUAUUUACCUGUUUGGAGUCCUUGUCCAACUCAAAUUACGCAGUAGAAUUAGGUCAUCUGUAA
ensembl:lncRNA